CGAACGCUGGCGGCGUCCCUAACACAUGCAAGUCACGGGGGUCCGUAGCAAUACGGGCAACCGGCGAACGGGUGCGUAACACGUGAGCAAUCUGCCGAUUUCUGGGGGAUAGCCGGUCCAACGACCGGGUAAUACCGCAUACGCUCAUUGGGGGACAUCCCCUGAUGAGGAAACCUCCGGGGGAAAUCGAGGAGCUCGCGGCCUAUCAGCUAGUUGGUGCGGUAACGGCGCACCAAGGCGACGACGGGUAGCUGGUCUGAGAGGAUGGCCAGCCACAUUGGGACUGCGACACGGCCCAGACUCCUACGGGAGGCAGCAGUGGGGAAUAUUGCGCAAUGGACGAAAGUCUGACGCAGCGACGCCGCGUGUGGGAUGAAGCUUUUCGGAGUGUAAACCACUGUUGCUCGGGACGAACAUCCCUUUUCGAGGGGACUGACGGUACCGAGUGAGGAAGCACCGGCUAACUCUGU
rnacentral:rRNA from 1 species